GGGGGAGUGGCGGAACUGGCAGACGCGCAUGACUUAGGAUCAUGUCUCUCGCGAGGUGAGGGUUCGAGUCCCUCCUUCCCCA
rnacentral:tRNA from 1 species